UACGGGGGGGGCAAGCGUUGUUCGGAAUUACUGGGCGUAAAGGGCUCGUAGGCGGCCAACUAAGUCAGACGUGAAAUCCCUAGGCUCAACCUAGGAACUGCGUCUGAUACUGGAUGGCUUGAAUCCGGGAGAGGGAUGCAGAAUUCCAGGUGUAGCGGUGAAAUGCGUAGAUAUCUGGAGGAAUACCGGUGGCGAAGGCGGCAUCCUGGACCGGCAUUGACGCUCAGGCACGAAAGCGUGGGGAGCAAACAGGG
rnacentral:rRNA from 1 species